rnacentral:snRNA from 10 species
GGAUGUGAGGGUGAUCUGGUUGAGACAUCUGUCGCUCCAUUGAUUGCCAGGGUUGAUUCGGCUAAUCUGGCUGGCUAGGCAGGUGUCCCCUUCCUCCCUCACCACUCC